rnacentral:rRNA from 1 species
AAUACCACCCUUUAAUGUUUGAUGUUCUAACGUUGGCCCCUGAUCGGGGUUGCGGACAGUGUCUGGUGGGUAGUUUGACUGGGGCGGUCUCCUCCUAAAGAGUAACGGAGGAGCACGAAGGUUGGCUAAUCCUGGUCGGACAUCAGGAGGUUAGUGCAAUGGCAUAAGCCAGCUUGACUGCGAGCGUGACGGCGCGAGCAGGUGCGAAAGCAGGUCAUAGUGAUCCGGUGGUUCUGAAUGGAAGGGCCAUCGCUCAACGGAUAAAAGGUACUCCGGGGAUAACAGGCUGAUACCGCCCAAGAGUUCAUAUCGACGGCGGUGUUUGGCACCUCGAUGUCGGCUCAUCACAUCCUGGGGCUGAAGUAGGUCCCAAGGGUAUGGCUGUUCGCCAUUUAAAGUGGUACGCGAGCUGGGUUUAGAACGUCGUGAGACAGUUCGGUCCCUAUCUGCCGUGGGCGCUGGAGAACUGAGGGGGGCUGCUCCUAGUACGAGAGGACCGGAGUGGACGCAUCACUGGUGUUCGGGUUGUCAUGCCAAUGGCACUGCCCGGUAGCUAAAUGCGGAAGAGAUAAGUGCUGAAAGCAUCUAAGCACGAAACUUGCCCCGAGAUGAGUUCUCCCUGACUCCCUGAGAGUCCUGAAGGAACGUUGAAGACGACGACGUUGAUAGGCCGGGUGUGUAAGCGCAGCGAUGCGUUGAGCUAACCGGUACUAAUGAACCGUGAGG